GAGACCUCGGGUGAGAGAGAGAUUGAGGCAUUGCCGGUGCCUUUCGGCUGCCUUGCCGGUCAGGCUAAAUUGGGAGGGCUGAGUGCUUCACCGACAUACACCGCGUGUUUGCGUGACCUUUCGGGGUGGGGAAUGGCGGGACUCGUCGGGAAUUCGUCACCGAACUUGGGGACGCCACAGCAGAGCCACCUGUACCGUGGGCAGGAUAUGUGGGCGUACUAUAUCCAGGUCAAGAACAGGUACCGCAGGAUGAGGCGCAUGGAGGAUGCUGUGCUGUGUUCGUGAGAGGUCUAGGCCGUCGUCUCCUAGUCAACUUUGGGUUGCUGGACCGUUGUCUCCUUAUAAUGUAAUUAUUUAUUUAUUUUGUAUAGAACUCAUAUUAUAUAGUAAAGUUGUGACAUUCGAUCCUGUGCCAUGAUUCAUCAUAUGUGUAAGACUUGGUCCCAGCACACCUGGUGAUUAUGUUCGCGUCCGGGUCUUGGUGCCUCGAAACCCGGGUGUGACAGUUCGGAGGCCCAACUCCUUGUACACGGGCUUAGAGUGGGUUGUGUGACGGCAGUGGGCCGGUGUAAGCUGUGACGCUGUGUCGCCAUAUGGCUGGUCGAUGUAUGUGAGUCAUGAGAAAAACAUUGCAGCAACUAAGAACACGCAGCUUUCC
rnacentral:lncRNA from 7 species